GGAUCAGAGAUGGAGUUCUUCAGUUCGGCUGGACCGGAGACAGGUGCUGCAUGGCUGUCCUCAGCUCGUGUCGUGAGAUGUUGGGUUAAGUCCCGCAACGAGCGCAACCCCCGUCCUUAGUUGCUACCAUUUAGUUGAGCACUCUAAGGAGACUGCCGGUGAUAAGCCGCGAGGAAGGUGGGGAUGACGUCAAGUCCUCAUGGCCCUUACGGGCUGGGCUACACACGUGCUACAAUGGCGGUGACAAUGGGACGCUAAGGGGCAACCCUUCGCAAAUCUCAAAAAGCCGUCUCAGUUCGGAUUGGGCUCUGCAACUCGAGCCCAUGAAGUUGGAAUCGCUAGUAAUCGUGGAUCAGCAUGCCACGGUGAAUACGUUCCCGGGCCUUGUACACACCGCCCGUCACACCAUGGGAGUUGGUUUUACCUGAAGACGGUGCGCUAACCCGCAAGGGAGGCAGCCGG
rnacentral:rRNA from 1 species